CCACCCAUAUGUCUUCACCUACCCUGUGUUUGGAGACACAGUCCGGGGGCUGGGAACGGCCUCCCUCCCGCAGAGAGGGGCUCACCUUCCGCCUCACUUCAUCCAGAGUCAGCUUGAGACUGAAGUCCACCUUGAGGGGACCGACGAGAUUCGGGGGGUCAUCGGGGCACGGCCGGGUCCUGUUCAACGGCGUGGUCCCCUCCUCCUUCUCCGGGGGGACACUCGGUUCUUGGGGCAACAUGUUCCGCUGCACCUGUUGAACACCUGCCUGUGUCCCCAGCUUGUCGGUCCCAGUGGACCCCCUGUACUGAAGCCGGGCCUGGGGGUUGGACGUGCCGGUCUCUUUGUACAGCAGCACCGCUCCAAAGUACGACGCACUGAGGAAACCAAAGAGGAUCAGUUCAAGUGCAGAUGUUGUGACUGUGAAGGCCAUUUCAAACUUUGUCAUCUCUCUCUGGAUGAGGACCCGGUCAUCCUGUUUCUCCACUCAGUUUUUCCUUUGUUCCUUUAAUUUUUUUUCACCUCUCUUUGUAUUGAUUAUGAUCAGUUAAGUGUUAUUUCAAUAACCCCUGACUCACAACUCUUUCUCAUGUCCUUCCUCUCCUUUUAUGAGAUAUUUGAACUGUGCGUCACACUACGCAGCUCUAUUCAGACCCUGUGUAGAAGAUAGAUGACAUGACUGCUCCCCAAAGGUGAAGCCAAAGCGCCGCGACUGCCCCUUUGUGGCUGGUGCGGUAAGGUCAUAAAUCCUCCUCCUCCUUAAAAGUCAAAAGUACAUGUGAAACGAAUAUUUCUCAAAGAUGGCUUCUGUCAUCUUAGGCAGAUAUUAUCACACUAAUGUUUGUUCAAGUGUUUAUUUUCAUUUUAUUUACGUUUGGUUGUAAUUAGUUAGUUUGAUUAUAUAAAAAAAGGGUGAACUGUUAUGAUUCUGAAUCGAUAAUUUGAAGGAAUAUUGAAUUAAUUGAAUAUUUGAAUUUAUUUGAUUUAGACCCUGCUCUUUUGAUUCUGUACCUUUGCUUGAACUUUGACUCAUCUGCAUCCACAAGAUGGCUGAUGGAUAAUUUGGCUUCAUUUCUGGAUAGUUGGAUGAAGUGGAGACGUGUUGACCAUCUUUAUAAACAGUCAAGAGUCAAACCUUCUAAAAUUUAGUACAUAGAGUAAAUUACACACACCUUUUGGGGCAAUGCAGCACCAGCGAAAUUCGGGAUUAACUACACCCAAGGGUAAAAAGACAAUGGAUUUUUAUGUUAUAUUUUACCAUUACUGUCUGGGAUAUUUGUACCAACUAAGGUAUAUAAUAUAAGGUUGUGAACAAUUUUUAUUUACUCUAACUCCUUGUAAACAUUGUGUACAUGUAACUAUGUCUUACUGGUGUUACUGAUUGUUUUUAAUAUGCGAGUCCUGUGCAGGUUUGAAUGUCCUACCCCUUGUUUUGUAGCACAAUGUUUUAAAGUAAACUUGUGCAUGAACUGUCCUGUCAAUAAGUGAACCAAGCAUAGAACAUUAAGACAUAUCAGCUGAGAGUGAGUGUGACUGUUUGGAAGACAUGUCAUCCUGCAUUGUUAGCGCUGCACCGACAUUAAUGACAAGGAAAAUCAAAAUAAAGUCUAUUUUUGUUGA